rnacentral:rRNA from 1 species
CACGUAGGGGGCAAGCGUUGUCCGGAUUUAUUGGGCGGAAAGAGCUCGUAGGCGGCUCAGUAAGUCGGGUGUGAAACCUCCAGGCUCAACCUGGAGACGCCACCUGAUACUGCUGUGGCUAGAGUCCGGUAGGGGAGCGUGGAAUUCCUGGUGUAGCGGUGAAAUGCGCAGAUAUCAGGAGGAACACCAGCGGCGAAGGCGGCGCUCUGGGCCGGAACUGACGCUGAGGAGCGAAAGCGUGGGUAGCAAACAGG